rnacentral:rRNA from 1 species
GACGAACGCUGGCGGCGUGCCUAAUACAUGCAAGUCGAACGAGAGCACCCUGUGCUUGCACUGUUCAAUCUAGUGGCGCACGGGUGUGUAACACGUGGGUAACCUGCCCAUCAUUGGGGGAUAACAUCCGGAAACGGAUUCUAAAACCGCAUAAGUCUUCGAACCGCAUGGUUUGUUGAGGAAUAGCGGCGCAUGCUUCUGCUGUUGGCUGUUCUCGCGUUGCAUUAGCUAGUUGGUGAGGUAACGGCUCACCAAGGCCGUGCUGCAUAGCCGACCUGAGAGGGUGAUCGGCGACAUUGGGAGGGAGACACGGCCAAAACUCCUACGGGAGGCAGCAGUAGGGAAUAUGCCGCAAUGGACGAAAGUCUGACGGAGCAAGGCCGCGUGAGUGAAGAAGGUGUUCGGAUCGUAAAACUCUGUUGUUAGAGAAGAACAGGUGCAGGAGGAAAUGAUAGCGGCUUGACGGUAACUAACCAGAAAGCCACGGCUAACUACGUG